GACGGAGGGGGCUAGCGUUGUUCGGAAUUACUGGGCGUAAAGGGCGCGUAGGCGGCCUAGUCAGUCGGUGGUGAAAGCCCGGGGCUCAACCCCGGAACGGCAACCGAGACGGUCAGGCUGGAGACCGGGAGAGGAGGGUGGAAUAGACGGUGUAGAGGUGAAAUUCGUAGAUAUUGGCAAGAACACCGGUGGCGAAAGCAGCUCUCUGGCCCGGUUCUGACGCUGAGGCGCGAAAGCGUGGGGAGCAAACAGG
rnacentral:rRNA from 1 species